rnacentral:rRNA from 1 species
GAUCCUGGCUUAGGACGAACGCUGGCGGCACGCUUAACACAUGCAAGUCGAACGAACGAAGAGGAGCUUGCUCCUCCUAGUUAGUGGCGGACGGGUGAGUAACACGUGAGCAACCUGCCUUCAAGUGAGGAAUAAUGGUUGGAAACGACCACUAAUACCUCAUAAUGCAGCGGUAUCGCAUGGUACUGCUGCCAAAGCCUUGUGUGCUUGAAGAUGGGCUCGCGUCCGAUUAGUUAGAUGGUGAGGUAACGGCUCACCAUGACUGCGAUCGGUAGCCGUACUGAGAGGUAGAACGGCCACAUUGGGACUGAGACACGGCCCAGACUCCUACGGGAGGCAGCAGUGGGGAAUAUUGCACAAUGGAGGAAACUCUGAAUGCAGCGAUGCCGCGUGAGGGAAGAAGGCUCUCGGGUUGUAAACCUCUGUUCUUGGGGACGAUAAUGACGGUACCCAAGGAGAAAGCUCCGGCUAACUACGUGCCAGCCGCCGC